GCUGGGCAUGGUGGUGCAUGCCUGUGGUUCCAGCUACUCAGGAGGCUGAGGUGGGAGGAUGGCUUGAGCCUGGGAGGCAGAGAUUGCAGUGAGCCAAGAUUGUACCACUGCACUCUAGCCUGGGCAACAGAGCCAGACCCUGCCUGUU
ensembl:misc_RNA Metazoa_SRP Metazoan signal recognition particle RNA